rnacentral:rRNA from 1 species
GACGUAGGGCGCGAGCGUUGUCCGGAUUUAUUGGGCGUAAAGAGCUCGUAGGCGGUUUGUCGCGUCGGAUGUGAAAUCCCCAGGCUCAACCUGGGAACUGCAUCCGAUACUGGAUGGCUUGAAUUCGGGAGAGGGAUGCAGAAUUCCAGGUGUAGCGGUGAAAUGCGUAGAUAUCUGGAGGAAUACCGGUGGCGAAGGCGGCAUCCUGGACCGUAACUGACGCUGAGGCACGAAAGCGUGGGUAGCAAACAGG